AUUGAACGCUGGCGGCAUGCCUUACACAUGCAAGUCGAACGGUAACAGGUCUUCGGAUGCUGACGAGUGGCGAACGGGUGAGUAAUACAUCGGAACGUGCCUAGUAGUGGGGGAUAACUACUCGAAAGAGUGGCUAAUACCGCAUGAGGUCUACGGAUGAAAGCAGGGGAUCGCAAGACCUUGUGCUACUAGAGCGGCCGAUGGCAGAUUAGGUAGUUGGUGGGAUAAAAGCUUACCAAGACGACGAUCUGUAGCUGGUCUGAGAGGACGAUCAGGCACACUGGGACUGAGACACGGCCCAGACUCCUACGGGAGGCAGCAGUGGGGAAUUUUGGACAAUGGGCGAAAGCCUGAUCCAGCAAUGCCGCGUGCAGGAUGAAGGCCUUCGGGUUGUAAACUGCUUUUGUACGGAACGAAAAGCCCCGGGUUAAUACCCUGGGGUCAUGACGGUACCGUAAGAAUAAGCACCGGCUAACUACGUGCCAGCAGCCGCGGUAA
rnacentral:rRNA from 1 species